ACAAACUUGGUCAUUUAGAGGAAGUAAAAGUCGUAACAAGGUCUCCGUAGGUAAGUAUAAAGCCCCUCUAUGCCACCCCGCUUGUUUUUAUCAAAUACUAAUCAACUUUUAACAGGUGAACCUGCGGAGGGAUCAUUACCGAGGAUGGCGGCCCUUUAGGCCACCGCCUCACCAUACUUUGCUUAAACCCCCCCUCUUCGGGGCACCUGCUUCGGCCGAUGGCCGGCUGGAAGGGAGCGCGCUUCAGCCCAGCUGGCCCAAGGUCGUGCGGUAGGGCCCCCAGACCAAAACCCUGAGUAUCAGUGUGUCUUAGGUGGUGAAAGCCAAACCAAACACAACCUGCAACGAUGGAUCUCUUGGCUCUGGCAUCGAUGAAGAACGCAGC
rnacentral:misc_RNA from 1 species